rnacentral:rRNA from 1 species
UCCUACGGGAGGCAGCAGUGAGGAAUAUUGGUCAAUGGCCGAGAGGCUGAACCAGCCAAGUCGCGUGAGGGAAGACGGCCCUACGGGUUGUAAACCUCUUUUGUCGGGGAGCAAAGCGAACCACGUGUGGUUCAUUGAGAGUACCCGAAGAAAAAGCAUCGGCUAACUCCGUGCCAGCAGCCGCGGUAAUACGGAGGAUGCGAGCGUUAUCCGGAUUUAUUGGGUUUAAAGGGAGCGUAGAUGGGUUGUUAAGUCAGUUGUGAAAGUUUGCGGCUCAACCGUAAAAUUGCAAUUGAUACUGGCAG